AGGAGGAAGCUGGGGCCGCCGUCGGGCCUUCUCCCUCCAGGGGCCCAAGAGCCACUGGUACUCAGUGUCUGGGUGGGGGCAGGGGGGAUUUUUGUUCUCCCAGCACCUGCGGCUGUUGAGACCAGAGAAGCUGGUGGUCGACCACAGCCUGGGGUAUUAGUUCACCCCUAGCUUCUCCCCAGCGAGACCCCAGGGCCCUUGGGCACAGGGGAUUAAGCCUCUAUCUGCUUACGUGCAAGCGGAAGAAAUAGGCCCAGAGAGCAACAGUGGCGGGUCUGCAGUCACACAGCCAACUUGCGCUUGUGGCAGUGGCAAGGUUGGUGAGUAUCUGAGUCUUCAGGCCACGGCAUUUUCCGCUCGAGUGGAGCCUGGAAGCUGGUUCAGUGGGGCUGUCGACCACAGGUACCAACCCUGCCCUCCCCUACAGAGUAUGUGACGUAGGCACAGCCAAUGACUGCAUCCCAGUGCUUCGACCAGUCACAGGGUCAAGGGUGCAGUGGCUCACACCUGUAAUCCCAGCACUUUGGAGUCCCAAGCAGGCAGAUCGCCUGAAGUCGGGAGUUUGAGACCAGCCUGGGUGAAACCCCAUCUCUAAUAAAAGUACAAAAAAUUA
rnacentral:lncRNA from 10 species